rnacentral:rRNA from 1 species
ACUGCUCAGUAACACGUAGUCAACCUAACUCGUGGACGUGGAUAACCUCGGGAAACUGAGAAUAAACCACGAUAGAUCAUAAUGCCUGGAAUGGCUUAUGGUCCAAACAGUUUACUGCCAUGGGAUGGGACUGCGGCCUAUCAGCUUGUUGGUGAGGUAAUGGCCCACCAAGGCGAUUACAGGUACGGGCUCUGAGAGGAGAAGCCCGGAGAUGGGUACUGAGACACGGACCCAGGCCCUAUGGGGCGCAGCAGGCGAGAAACCUUAGCAAUGUGCGAAAGCACGACUGGGUCAGUCCGAGUGAUUCCUGAUAAAGGAGUCUUUUGCUUGUCCUAAAAGCACAGGUGAAUAAGGGGUGGGCAAGUCUGGUGUCAGCCGCCGCGGUAAUACCAGCACCUCGAGUGGUCAGGACGUUUAUUGGGCCUAAAGCAUCCGUAGCCGGCUCUGCAAGUCUUCGGUUAAAUCCACCUGCUCAACAGAUGGGCCGCUGGAGAUACUACAGAGCUAGGGAGUGGGAGAGGCAGACGGUAUUCAGUGGGUAGGGGUAAAAUCCUCUGAUCCAUUGAGGACCACCAGUGGCGAAGGCGGUCUGCCAGAACACGUUCGACGGUGAGGGAUGAAAGCUGGGGGAGCAAACCGGAUUAGAUACCCGGGUAGUCCCAGCUGUAAACGAUGCAAACUCGGUGAUGCAUUGGCUUAUGGCCAAUGCAGUGCCGCAGGGAAGCCGUUAAGUUUGCCGCCUGGGAAGUACGGACGCAAGUCUGAAACUUAAAGGAAUUGGCGGGGGAGCAC